AGAACGAACGCUGGCGGCACGCCUAACACAUGCAAGUCGAGCGCCCAGCAAUGGGAGCGGCGGACGGGUGAGGAACACGUGGGAAUAUGCCUUUCGGUUCGGCACAACUGCGGGAAACUGCAGCUAAUUCCGGAUACGCCCUUACGGGGAAAGAUUUAUCGCCGAAAGAUUAGCCCGCGUCUGAUUAGCUAGUUGGUGAGGUAAUGGCUCACCAAGGCUUCGAUCAGUAGCUGGUUUGAGAGAACGACCAGCCACACUGGGACUGAGACACGGCCCAGACUCCUACGGGAGGCAGCAGUGGGAAUCUUGGACAAUGGAGGAAACUCUGAUCCAGCGAUGCCGCGUGAGUGAUGAAGGCCUUCGGGUUGUAAAACUCUUUUACCAGGGAAGAUAAUGACUGUACCUGGAGAAUAGCUCCGGCUAACUUCGCGCCAGCAGCCGC
rnacentral:rRNA from 1 species